AUUUGCUUAGUGUAGUUUAUAUUCUUGCUUCUUGCGAUAGAGAGAAGAUAAGAAACGGCCAUGCGCAAGGAUGACACGCAAAAUCCUGAAGCGUUCCACAUUUUA
rfam:Glossina palpalis gambiensis isolate 146720 unplaced genomic scaffold Scaffold54, whole genome shotgun sequence.